rnacentral:lncRNA from 1 species
CUGGGCGAUAUGUAACAAUUUUUUUAUUGUUAAGGAAUUCAUAUAACUGUGUACAUACAUGUCUUUCGAAAAUUUUAGAUAUGGUAUUCAAAAUAGAAAUUGGACGAUAAUUUGAGGGAAUAUCUCUUGGUCCUCCUUUAUGUAUAGCAGUUACUCUUGCAAGUUUUAAUUUUUGCGGAAAACGAUAACAAUAGUAUCGGGCACGUUUGGGGGUUUUGAAAUCGGACACGUUUGGGGAAUAUUGAAUAUUAUGGACACGUUUGGGGAGAAUAGACACGUUUGGGUGAUUCGGACAAAUCGGACACGUUUGGGGGGAAGGACACGUUUAGGAGUGUUACAUAUAUAAAGGUUGAGGAUAUACACGGAUGUGGUCACUUUUAUUUUUGACAAAAAACAUCUGAAAAGUGACGUUUUUUGGCAUAUUUGAGAGAUUUUUCAUAUUGAAGCUUGAAUCGGAGCGUUUUUAAUGACUAAAUCAGUUAAAAUCUUCCACAAAAACUAAUCAAAUCAAUUGAAAUAGACACUUAAGUGUUUAAAAAGUGUCCAAAAUCUUUCGUUAGAUGAACCUGAAAUUUGAGGCCAAAAUCGGCCCUUACCGGACCUACUCUUUUACUGGAA